GGGGCAUUGGCGCAGUUGGUAGCGCGUCUCAAUGGCAUUGAGAAGGUCAGGAGUUCGAAUCUCCUAUGCUCCACCA
rnacentral:tRNA from 1 species